rnacentral:rRNA from 1 species
GAUGAACGCUGGCGGCGUGCUUAAUACAUGCAAGUCGAACGGAAAGGUCAUGAUCUUGUUCGGCGCUCGUGUGGCGAACGGGUGAGUAACACGUGAGUAUCCUCUCCCUGACUUUCGGAGAACACUAGGAAACAGGGGAUCAUAUCGGAUAGAAGCUCCUGAACCACGGUGGGGGAUGGAAAGUUACGGCGGUUGGGGAUGGACUCGCGCCGUAUGAGCUUGUUGGUAGGGUUGUGGCUUACCAAGGCUUUCACGGGUAGACUACCGGAGAGGGUGAUCGGCCACCUGGGAACGGAGACACGGUCCAGACUCCUACGGGAGGCAGCAGUAGGGAAUCUGCCGCAAUGGGCGAAAGCAUGACGGAGCAACGCCGCGUGAGUGAUGAAGGUCUUCGGAUCGUAAAACUCUGUUAUUAGGGAAGAACAAAUGUGUAAGGAACUAUGCACGUCUUGACGGUACCUAAUCAGAAAGCCACGGCUAACUACGUG